rnacentral:rRNA from 1 species
CACGUAGGGCGCAAGCGUUGUCCGGAAUUAUUGGGCGUAAAGAGCUCGUAGGCGGUCUGUUACGUCCGCUGUGAAAACCCAGGGCUUAACCCUGGGCUUGCAGUGGAUACGGGUAGACUAGAGGCAGGUAGGGGAGAAUGGAAUUCCCGGUGUAGCGGUGAAAUGCGCAGAUAUCGGGAGGAACACCGGUGGCGAAGGCGGUUCUCUGGGCCUUACCUGACACUGAGGAGCGAAAGCGUGGGGAGCGAACAGG